GGCUGUGGGGGUGAUCUGUCACCCCACUGAUCACCAGGGUUGAUUUGGCUGAUCUGGCUGGCUAAGCAGGUGUCCCCUUCCUCCCUCAUCGCUCCAUGUGUGUCCCUCCCAAAGCUGCUUGCUUGUUGGUCAAAGAGGAAGACUUCCUGUGUUGGAGUAGCUGCGCUCCCCUGUCCUUCCCUGCUAGAACCUCCAAACAAGCUCUCAAGGAAAUAAACAUAGCACACAGGAAAAGGAGGACAUAAUUUACAGACCAAAUCAGUACUUAAAAAGGAUU
ensembl:misc_RNA 7SK 7SK RNA